UGCAAGUCGAACGAUGAACCACUUCGGUGGGGAUUAGUGGCGAACGGGUGAGUAACACGUGGGCAAUCUGCCCUUCACUCUGGGACAAGCCCUGGAAACGGGGUCUAAUACCGGAUACUGACCCUCGCAGGCAUCUGCGAGGUUCGAAAGCUCCGGCGGUGAAGGAUGAGCCCGCGGCCUAUCAGCUUGUUGGUGAGGUAAUGGCUCACCAAGGCGACGACGGGUAGCCGGCCUGAGAGGGCGACCGGCCACACUGGGACUGAGACACGGCCCAGACUCCUACGGGAGGCAGCAGUGGGGAAUAUUGCACAAUGGGCGAAAGCCUGAUGCAGCGACGCCGCGUGAGGGAUGACGGCCUUCGGGUUGUAAACCUCUUUCAGCAGGGAAGAAGCGAAAGUGACGGUACCUGCAGAAGAAGCGCCGGCUAACUACGUGCCAGCAGCCGCGGUAAUACGUAGGGCGCAAGCGUUGUCCGGAAUUAUUGGGCGUAAAGAGCUCGUAGGCGGCUUGUCACGUCGGUUGUGAAAGCCCGGGGCUUAACCCCGGGUCUGCAGUCGAUACGGGCAGGCUAGAGUUCGGUAGGGGAGAUCGGAAUUCCUGGUGUAGCGGUGAAAUGCGCAGAUAUCAGGAGGAACACCGGUGGCGAAGGCGGAUCUCUGGGCCGAUACUGACGCUGAGGAGCGAAAGCGUGGGGAGCGAACAGGAUUAGAUACCCUGGUAGUCCAC
rnacentral:rRNA from 1 species